AUGGCAGGCUGGCUUGAUCCGUAUUUAUCGAACGGGGUUGGGGCACAUUUAUCGAACGAUGUCCUUGCGAGGAAAGGCUGGCCUCACAAUCCGUCAUGCUCUCUAUGCAAUGGGCCAAUGGAGGAUGUCGUGCACCUGCUAGCUUCCUGUCCCGUCUCCAUCCGAAUUUGGCACGACAUUAUUGCUCGCUGCAACCUUCAUCCGGGCCUCGCUCCCUCCACCACCAUAACUUCCCUGGUGCUUUGGAUCAAGCAGUCCAAUGGCAUCAUUACGGCAUCAGCAAAGAAGCCAUGGAGCGCACUCGUACAGCUGGUUUGGUGGUCGAUAUGGAACGAAUGCAAUGCAAGGAUAUUCAGAAACCAACGAUCGCCGCAGACGACUGUGGUGGAACGGAUGAUUGAAGAGGCAGCGGUCUGGCAAAGGGCGGGACGGUUCAAGGCCAUCUCCCUCCUCAACAGACCAAGAGAACCAGACUAG
rnacentral:rRNA from 1 species